GCGGGACGCGCCGUGAUGACGUAGUGAGGGCGGGCUGGUGGGCCUGGAGCGCGGUGGGAAGUGGACAAGGCUGGUGGCGGCCAAAAUGGGAGUGGUGAUGUUAAUAAAUGUAUUCAUGAACUAAAGCAACUGAAGCCUCUCAGCCAUUGCCGACCCACAGUGAGCACUCAGUCAAAGGCGCUGCUUGCUGUUAGGAGCCAUUGGGAAGCCUGAGCCAUGGAGCCUGGCUAACCCUGUGCCAUCAGCUGUGUGGCCUCGGGUGAGCCACUUAACCUAUCUGGCUUAGGAUGUCACCUGACUGGGUGACUGUUUCUGUGGAAGCGUUUGUUAAAUGGAAGUACAGAUGCCACUCUGGGGGGAGCAGUUUACCCAGGGCUGCAGGCUGAGCUGGGCUGAAAGAGAUAAGAGAUGAGUGACAGGAAGGCCCUUGGACAACCUCAUGGUCCCAUACUGGCCUUCUGACCUUCUUGACAGCUACCAUUCCUGCCCCACCCCUUCCUCCCUUUCCUGUCCUCAGCAUGUCUAAUGUCCCUUGGAAGAGGGUCCCUAGCUUACACCAACUGAAACUGUACAUGUUAACACUUCAAUAAAUAUGCGUACACAGGGCUGCUCCCAUUGUCAGCCACUUAGAGACACUGACAUGGCCCACACCACACAAUACGCUCACAUACACACACAGACUUGCACAGAAAUACUUUCAUCACCAGACCCACAGAGACAUCCUGACACGCAGACCCUCACGGUCACACUGUUAUGCCUCACACACUGUCACACAGUAGUUCUUGUUCAACUUUCCAAAAUGUGUAUGGAUCCACUUCUGUGCCCAGUGCAUAUGCUGUCGUGCUGUCUCAAAGGUCACCCCGAGUGGUGCACAACCCCAUGUGUUUCCUCAGCACACGCUGUCACGGGCACACCUCCACGUCUGCUCACACAGUCACCCGUGCCUGGCCUCUUGCAGGCAUCUGGAGUCACGCACAUCGUCUCAUACAGCCUCAUCCCUACUGCCCGCUGCACACCAGCUCUCACCACGACGUGUGGCUGCAUGUGCUGUCUCAUACAACCUGGACGCCGUCCCACGCGGUGUCACAUAUUCUGUCACAAUCGUGAAGCGUUGCGUGCCAUCUCACAUGGUCAUACACGGCAGCCACACACUGUCAUCAAAGAAUCACGGACACUGAUACACAACCCCCCACCACUGUU